rnacentral:rRNA from 2 species
AAGCUGGGGAGAAACAGGAUUAGAUACCCUGGUAGUCCACGCUGUAACGAUGAGUGUAAGUGUUAGAGGGUUUCCGCCCUUUAGUGCUGAAGUUAACGCAUAAGCACUCCGCCUGGGGAGUACGGUCGCAAGACUGAAACUCAAAGGAAUUGACGGGGGCCGCACAAGUGGUGGAGCAUGUGGUUUAAUUCGAAGCAACGCGAAGAACCUUACCAGGUCUUGACAUCCUCUGACAACCCUAGAGAUAGGGCUUUCCCUUCGGGGACAGAGUGACAGGUGGUGCAUGGUUGUCGUCAGCUCGUGUCGUGAGAUGUUGGGUUAAGUCCCGCAACGAGCGCAACCCUUGAUCUUAGUUGCCAGCAUUCAGUUGGGCACUCUAAGGUGACUGCCGGUGACAAACCGGAGGAAGGUGGGGAUGACGUCAAAUCAUCAUGCCCCUUAUGACCUGGGCUACACACGUGCUACAAUGGAUAGUACAAAGGGUUGCAAGACCGCGAGGUGGAGCUAAUCCCAUAAAACUAUUCUCAGUUCGGAUUGUAGGCUGCAACUCGCCUACAUGAAGCCGGAAUCACUAGUAAUCGCGGAUCAGCAUGCCGCGGUGAAUACGUUCCCGGGCCUUGUACACACCGCCCGUCACACCACGAGAGUUUGUAACACCCGAAGUCGGUGGGGUAACCUUUUAGGGGCCAGCCGCUAC